ACUGCAAUUUUCAUUAUUGUUGCAAACCCAGCCCUAACAACAUUGCAUCUCGUACCUCCUGAGGAAAGAAUGCACUGCAUAAACACGUGAAUGAAUGCUGAAUCUCGGACAAGGGUUGGAGGAGGGGAAGUGUCUUGUUCCCAUCUACAAAGGGAAGGAUCUUAAUGAUAACUCCUGGGCAGAGCUCUGGUGACGAUCACAUCUCGGAAAAGAAAAGAUGUGGCCUGCUGGAAUAUGACAGCCAUGAAAAUUCAUGCAGACACUAUGAACUGAAUGGAAAAAGCUGAAUCCCUCCUGAGAUGAAGCAGAUCAGGAAUGAAAAAAGAUGUGCAAAUUGCACGAGCAAGAAUGAAUGUAGCCCCACGAACAUCUCAAAAACUUUCAAGGAAAGUAUCGUUAUCCCAUUUUACAAAUGAGAAAAUCGAGGCACAGAAAGCUGAAAGGACUCGCUUCUGGCCAGUGGCAGGUCCAUUAACAGAACUCAAGUUUCCUAACUCUGGUGCCCACUCCACUGGACCACACUGG